rnacentral:misc_RNA from 1 species
AUUUUCGCCGGGAUAUCACUUGAAUUUUCCUUCGCCAGUAAUGGACAGACCUAGAUUCGUAAUCGAAGCACCAGAAGCCGAAUCCAUGGCCAAACAAUCGAGCCUCACAAUCCCUCUACUCCUUCCAUCUCUGGUCAAAUCGGCGCAGAGCCUAGCCCGGCCGCCGAUCUCGAAAUACCACGUCGGCGCCGUCGGUUUCGGAUCCUCCGGGAGAGUGUUCUUCGGCGUCAAUCUCGAAUUCCCCGGUCUUCCUCUUCAUCAAUCUGUUCAUGCCGAACAAUUCCUAGUCACAAAUCUCGCCCUAAACGGCGAAUCUCACCUCAAUUACCUUGCCGUCUCCGCCGCCCCUUGCGGCCAUUGCCGCCAAUUCCUCCAAGAAGUUCGCUCCGCCGCCGAGAUCAAAAUCCUCGUCUCUGAUUCCGAUUCGAAAUCCAACGAUUACGUUCCUCUCUCCCAAUUUCUCCCCUACCGAUUCGGCCCUUAUGACCUUCUCAAUAAGGACGUUCCAUUACUCCUCGAGCCCCGAUCUAACGGCCUGUCCUUAUCGAACGAAUCCGCCGGAAAU